UGCCUAUGGGAGUCUGGAGACGAUGGU
rnacentral:piRNA from 1 species